UUAGUCUAUAAUAUUAUAAACAACAUGGUUUUCUUCGAAGCUAGAAGCCUUACUUGCAUUUACAACUAUUUCGUAUAUGAAAGUUCUCUAUGUUUAUUGCAGGACAAAUAAUUUACACAUAAGAAUAGAGCAUGCGAUCACACCCGUUACUUGACGCAUUAUUUAAGCAGUUGAAACCUGAUGGUAAAUUGAAAGUAGAUAAAUACAGUAUGAAUUUUACCAGAUUUAUUCCUGGAUAUAUCUUUGUGAGAGCAGCUGGCAUAUCAGGUGUCUUGGCUGUUGCUAUGGGAACAUAUGGCAUUUACAUAUUCAAAGCAAAAGUAGAAAAUGAUGAGUUACCUGUUGCUAGUACAGGUAAAAAAGGAGAGAUUAGAAAAGGACGAGUAGUUGAUGUUGAUCUCAUGAAACGGAUGUAUAUUUAUGACCUUGGAUUCAAACUUCAUCUUUUUCACACCGUAGCCUUAUUAGCUAUACCAUUAACCAGAAUGCCUUAUUUAGUUGGAUCGUUGAUGUUAACAGGGUUGGUAUUACUGUCAGGUAGUUGUUAUUAUGAAGGUCUUUAUUAUGUACGAAUCAAGUCACGACAUUCAAAGUUUUUAGCCACCGCAAUGUACAGUGGUGGACUAUUCUUGUUGGCUUCAUGGUUAACCAUGGUGAUGUAAAAAUCUGGGACCUAAUUCACAAAAAACUUACACUAAAAUAUUUAAAAAAACAAAGUCAUUUCAUUGGGUGAGAGUUAAAAUUAUACAACAAAUUGUAGGUCUUAGCCAAUGAAAGGGCUGGAUUCUUAAAAUGUUUGUGAAUAAGGCACUGGCUGGAGAGUACUUGUGUAUACCCUACCUACCUCAUACAAUGAACUGAAAGAAAAUAAGAUCUCAGUCAUAUACAGAUUCGAGACCAAUGUACAAUAAUUAUGGUUAAAAUACAGAUGUGACGUCAUCCUUUGAUGUUGGUGUACCAUCAUUUAACAAUAAUAGUACAGGCAACAUGAAUAUCGUAUUGCAUUUAUGCCCGAUGAAGGAUUUAUAGUACUCAAAUGGCAUUUCGUUGAAAUGCACUUGCUGGAUAGUGUAACUUUAUUUUAAGUUGUUUAAAGAUCUCAAGAAAGACAUAAUAUAAUAUAUUGAUACACAACAACGUCCUCGUGCAGUUUCAAUAUAUUUCUAAAUGUCUCACUCUAGAUCAUUAAACUACACUAAAGCACCAAAUACACAUACAGUCAAAAGAGAGAGAGAGAGUUUAAUGUCCACUCGACUAACAUAUUUCAAUAAUUCGCUUGCGAGUAGGGGUCUUUAGCAGUGGGAGGAACCCUGAGGACAGAUGCCACUACUCCUUGUCACAUUCACCCGGGGAUUCGAAACCACGCCAGUUGACUCAAUGUCAGACCUUCUGAUACAGCGCGCACAUGCUACCCCCCCCCCCCCACACACACACACACACAUACAGUCAAAAGUGAAUAAACAGGUACUCGAUGAGAAUGCACCACUGAUUUGACUGUAAGGUAUACUGCAGAUUCAAGUUCCACCUUAUUGUUGUUUGCAAGAGAUUCCUUUAUCUAUCAAAUGACUUUUAAAGACUAUGAUUCAUAAAAAAAAAAAAGAAUUAAAUACAGUUUAUUUUAUAUUUUUUAUUAUUUGUUAAUUAAUAUCAAGAUAAUUAGUUACUUGAAGGGGCGAUAUUAAUAAUAAUUUGAUAUAAUUCUGUCAAUAUAGAGGUUUUAUACACCUAAAACUUGUAUUACAAAACAAAAAAUCACAUCAAUCAGAUAAUACAAAAAGCUUAAAGGACAAUAUUAGUGUUCAUUAAUUUUAUAUAUGUGACAGAACUAGUUAAACACAUUACAAAGAUAAUUGGGCUGCCUGAAUAAAUUGUAACUAUCGUUUAAAAUUCAAGUAGAGAAUGAUUAAAAAAUUAGGUGACACAAGGUUUGCUUUUUCCAUCUUUCUCACUUUUUCUGAUCUCUCGGCAGUCAGUUCUUUUGAUAUCCGCAAACAUCUCUUCAUCUUUCCUGGAUUUGUCAGUGAGCUGAAAGUCGUCUUUUCAGUUGUUACAAUAACUGCUUUGCUUUAUUGUGUCACUCUGGAUUCUGGAUUCUUUAAAUCAUUAUUACAGAUCACCAAUAGCACCUAUCUCUAUGUUAAAAUAAAAUUUGGAAUGUGUUUAACCAUAUCUAUCACUUAUAUAAAAUUGGUAGACACCAACAUUGUCCUUUAAAUAAUACAGUCAUGUAUUUGUUAGACAGAAACAUAUAGUCUACACCUUCUGUUAUCGCCACUAUGAGAUAAAUGACUAUCUCUAGAGCACAGAUAACCAUACAAUAACAAUGUGACUAUGCAUCUUUCUUCAACAUUUUACAACAAUUCUCCCAGAUCAAUUAAAAAUAGCAGAUUUUACAGAUAUCUGAUAUGUUCAUCUGGUGGAAUAUUCUAUUAUUACUGCCAUCGUUUACAUUCUAAUGAAAAGUUAUAUUUUAAUCAGAAAGUAUUGAACUUCAAUACUGAUGGACGUCUGGAAUAAGUUAAUAAGUAUAGAGCAGUUCAAAGUAUUAUUAUUGAGUCGCGUUUUGUAAAUAUUUAAUAUUUCCAUAAGAAUUUGAAUACAAUAUGUGAUUAAAGAUUUAUAUCUGAAAAUAUCACAUAUCUUUAAUACUGGGACAUGUUAUUUUUUUUUUUUAAAAUAAAGUACAAAAUCAGUUUUAUUAAUAUUUCACAUGGUAAAGUUAUUAGUUCACAGGGUGAGGUUAAUUAAUGUUUCACAUGGUAGGUUAAUUAAUGUUCACAUUGUUAGUUUAAUUAAUAUUUCACAUGGUAAAGUUAAUUAAUAUUUAAUAUGGUAGUUUAUAUUUUAGGUGGUAAGGUUAAUUAAUAUUUCACAUGAUAGUUUAAUUAAUAUUUCACAUGGUAAGGUUAAUUAAUAUUUCACAUGGUAGGUUAAUAUUUCACAUGGUAGGUUAAUAUUUCACAUAAUAAGCUUAAUUAAUAUUUCACAUGGUAGCUAGGUUAAUCAAUAUUUCACAUGGUAGCUAGGUUAAUCAAUAUUUCACAUGGUAGCUAGGUUAAUC